rnacentral:rRNA from 1 species
UACAGAGGGUGCGAGCGUUGUUCGGAAUUAUUGGGCGUAAAGGGCGCGUAGGCGGCGCGGUAUGUCACCUGUGAAAUCUCCUGGCUCAACUGGGAGCUUGCAGGCGAAACUGCCGUGCUGGAGUGUGGGAGAGGUGCGUGGAAUUCCUGGUGUAGCGGUGAAAUGCGUAGAUAUCAGGAGGAACACCAGUGGCGAAGGCGACUUCCUGGCCUGUUCUUGACGCUGAGGCGCGAAAGCUAGGGGAGCAAACGGG